rnacentral:lncRNA from 1 species
AGGAAGCGUGCUGAGAGAGAGGGCAGGGUGGAGACUAUCGGACUGGGAGGAUGAGGCAGCUCAGGCCAAACGCUCAUCCAUAUUCAGCUGUGUGUCCAAGGAAGUGUGGAUGAUCAGAGACAGAGGGAGUGGCCAAAGGAAUGCAUGGAGAAGUGUCUGGCUAUUGGUACCCGGAUGCUGAGAAAAGACUGUGGCUUUGCCCAACCAAACAAUCCAGGGAUGAAGGUAGUCUUGGAGGGGCAGGACUUUUGUCUAAACGUAUGACAGCCCCGGCAGUGUAUACCCUCAGGCUUCAAGCUCCAGAGAACCCAAGAUGUAAAGUGGAGACUGCAAUUGUCAGCAAUUCCACACACUGAGAAACACAGGUAAAGAGGCUGCAUGUGUAACAUUUCCAGCUUGAACUGAAAACACCACUGGUUUAAUCCAGAGACAGAAGCACCUUUUGAGUCCCAUCCCAUG